rnacentral:rRNA from 1 species
UGGGGAAUAUUGCACAAUGGGCGAAAGCCUGAUGCAGCGACGCCGCGUGGAGGAUGAAGGCCUUCGGGUUGUAAACUCCUGUUGAGUGGGGAAAAAUGCUAUUCUUAAAUAAAGAAUAGAGCUGAUAGUACCACUAGAGAAAGCACCGGCAAACUUCGUGCCAGCAGCCGCGGUAAUACGAAGGGUGCGAGCGUUAUUCGGAGUUACUGGGCGUAAAGAGCGCAAAGGCGGCGUCUUAAGUUGGUUGUUAAAUUUCCUGGCCUAACCAGGAACCUGCGUCCAAAACUGGGAUGCUAGAGUGUAAGAGAGGGAAGUGGAAUCCUCGGAGUAGCGGUAAAAUGCGUAGAUCUCGAGAGGAACACCGGAGGCGAAGGCGGCUUCCUGGCUUACAACUGACGCUCAAGCGCGAAAGCGUGGGGAGCAAACAGG